GGUGAUGUAGUUUAGUGGUAGAAUGCUUGUCUGGCAUGCACACAUCUCUGGGUUCAUUCCCCAGUACCGCCA
rnacentral:tRNA from 1 species